AGUCGAGGGGCAGCAUGACCUAGCAAUAGGUUGAUGGCGACCGGCGCACGGGUGAGUAACACGUAUCCAACCUACCGGUUAUUCCGGGAUAGCCUUUCGAAAGAAAGAUUAAUACCGGAUAGUAUAACGAGAAGGCAUCUUUUUGUUAUUAAAGAAUUUCGAUAACCGAUGGGGAUGCGUUCCAUUAGUUUGUUGGCGGGGUAACGGCCCACCAAGACAUCGAUGGAUAGGGGUUCUGAGAGGAAGGUCCCCACAUUGGAACUGAGACACGGUCCAAACUCCUACGGGAGGCAGCAGUGAGGAAUAUUGGUCAAUGGACGAGAGUCUGAACCAGCCAAGUAGCGUGAAGGAUGACUGCCCUAUGGGUUGUAAACUUCUUUUAUAUGGGAAUAAAGUGAGCCACGUGUGGCUUUUUGUAUGUACCAUACGAAUAAGGAUCGGCUAACUCCGUGCCAGCAGCCGCGGUAAUACGGAGGAUCCGAGCGUUAUCCGGAUUUAUUGGGUUUAAAGGGAGCGUGGGCGGACUAUUAAGUCAGCUGUGAAAGUUUGCGGCUCAACCGUAAAAUUGCAGUUGAUACUGGUCGUCUUGAGUGCAGUAGAGGUAGGCGGAAUUCGUGGUGUAGCGGUGAAAUGCUUAGAUAUCACGAAGAACUCCGAUCGCGAAGGCAUUGUGCCGGGGCAGCACUGACGCUGAGGCUCGAAAGUGCGGGU
rnacentral:rRNA from 1 species